rnacentral:rRNA from 1 species
CGGCGUGCCUAACACAUGCAAGUCGAGCGGGGACGAUUCGACGGACCGGAAGUUUCGAAUGGAAGGGAAGAUGAAUGUCUAGCGGCGGACGGGUGAGUAACGCGUGAGCAACCUGUCCUUCACAGGGGGAGUAACACAGCGAAAGUUGUACUAAUACCGUAUAAGACCACGGCGGGGCAUCCCGAAGGGGUCAAAGGAGCAAUCCGGUGAAGGGUGGGCUCGCGUCCGAUUAGAUAGUUGGUGAGGUAACGGCCCACCAAGUCGACGAUCGGUAGCCGACCUGAGAGGGUGAUCGGCCACAUUGGACUGAGACACGGCCCAAACUCCUACGGGAGGCAGCAGUGGGGAAUAUUGGGCAAUGGGGGGAAAAACCCCCGUGACCCGGCAACGCCGCGUGAGGGAAGAAGGUUUUCGGAUCGUAAACCUCUGUCCUUGGUGAAGAGGAAGAGACGGUAGCCAAGGAGGGAAGCCCCGGCUAACUACGUGCCAGCAGCUGC